ensembl:snRNA U2 U2 spliceosomal RNA
UCUCCUUCUUGGCCUUUUGGCUAAGAUCAAGUGUAGUAUCUUUGUGUUUUCCCCUGAAAUGAGUAUCAGAGAUAUUUUGUUUGUUUUAAAGGAGUCAUUCUGAAUGAAUUUUGGUGUUUAAUUUUGAUGAUUCAGCAGUGGAGAGCUGAGUCUGAAGGAGUCCACAGAAA